rnacentral:rRNA from 1 species
GACGUAGGGCGCGAGCGUUGUCCGGAUUUAUUGGGCGUAAAGAGCUCGUAGGCGGCUUGUCGCGUCGUCCGUGAAAACCUGGGGCUCAACCCCAGGCUUGCGGUCGAUACGGGCAGGCCGUGAGUUCGGUAGGGGAGACUGGAAUUCCUGGUGUAGCGGUGAAAUGCGCAGAUAUCAGGAGGAACACCGGUGGCGAAGGCGGUUCUCUGGGCCUGUACUGACGCUGAGGAGCGAAAGCGUGGGGAGCAAACAGG